AUUGAACGCUGGCGGCAUGCCUAACACAUGCAAGUCGAACGGUAACACGAGGACGCUUGCUUCUUUGCUGACGAGUCGCGGACGUGUGAGAAAUGUCUGUGACACUGCCUGAUGGAGGGGGUUAACUACUGGAAACGGUAGCUACUACCGCAUAACGUCUCAAGCCCAAAGAGCGGGACCUUCGGGCCUCUUGCCAUCGGCUGUGCCCAGAUGGGAUUAGCUAGUAGGUGGGGUAACGGCUCACCUAGGCGACGAUCCCUAGCUGGUCUGAGAGGAUGACCAGCCACACUGGAACUGAGACACGGUCCAGACUCCUACGGGAGGCAGCAGUGGGGAAUCUUGCACAAUGGGCGCAAGCCUGAUGCAGCCAUGCCGCGUGUAUGAAGAAGGCCUUCGGGUUGUAAAGUACUUUUAGCGGGGAGGAAGGGAGUAAAGUUAAUACCUGUGCUUAUUGACGGUACCGGAAGAAGAAGCACCGGCUAACUACGUG
rnacentral:rRNA from 1 species